UACAGAGGUCUCAAGCGUUGUUCGGAUUCAUUGGGCGUAAAGGGUGCGUAGGUGGCGAGGCAAGUCGGAUGUGAAAUCCCGGGGCUCCAACCCGGAACUGCAUUCGAUACUGCCUUGCUAGAGUACUGGAGAGGAGAUUGGAAUUUACGGUGUAGCAGUGAAAUGCGUAGAUAUCGUAAGGAAGACCAGUGGCGAAGGCGGAUCUCUGGACAGUUACUGACACUGAGGCACGAAGGCCAGGGGAGCAAACGGG
rnacentral:rRNA from 1 species